UACGUAGGGGGCAAGCGUUAUCCGGAUUUACUGGGUGUAAAGGGAGCGCAGAUGGACAGACAAGUCAGAUGUGAAAGCACGGGACUUAACCCCGUGAUUGCAUUUGAAACUGCCGGUCUAGAGUACUGGAGAGGUAAGCAGAAUUCCUAGUGUAGCGGUGAAAUGCGUAGAUAUUAGGAAGAAUACCGGUGGCGAAGGCGGCUUACUGGACAGAUACUGACAUUGAGGCUCGAAAGCGUGGGGAG
rnacentral:rRNA from 1 species